UCUCUCUCUCUCCGUUGUCAUCGCCUCCGACCAUCCGUAUUCCAUGGUCUCCAGAUCGUCGACAUCUGAUUUGACCAAAUACAUGUUUCCGGUGAGUCGGAUGCCUAAUAACGACGGAGAUUGGCCGACGAUUACAUAUAUGGUGAAUCAGAAUUGACGAUUACAUAAAUGAAUUCCAAAUUGGCAAAAGAGGCAUCUAAGGGAAUCACUUAUGAGAGGAGAUAAAUUGUCGAAAAUCAAUGUAAGUUUUGGUUUUUGAGCUAGUUUAUUGAAGCUUGUAUUUAGUUUUUCAAUCACGACUUGUUAUGUUUCUCUUUUUUCAAGUUACAUAGAAAUAAAUUCAGAAAUUUAGAAGUGAAAAGGUCUUAACAUAAACAAUUUCAUAGCAACUUGAGCUCCAUUCUGCAAUGAACUUCCGUUAAUCAGAAGAGAACGAAUAUUGAUUCCAACUCAAACGAAACUCAGUUGCUCAUUUCCAUGCCUACAAUGUUUGAUGAAUUGAAGUAUUUGAUACUGCAUACGUGAGUUUAUUCAUCUGUUAAUUGUGUAUGAAGCUGUAAAAUUUGAUUAUAUUUAUCAUGGUUUUUAUUUCAUAAAAUUGUGUACACAAAUAGCAAAAGCAGUAAAAGAUGAGUAUGGGAAAAAUCGGAGAGCACUGACAAAGUAUAAGGUUACAUAUUUGAUAUUAUUAGUAAAAGAUUGCAAAUAUAUUGCUCUUCUUUUA